rnacentral:rRNA from 1 species
AGGAUGAACGCUGGCGGCGUGCUUAACACAUGCAAGUCGAACGGAGAAAGGGUAGCUUGCUAUCUUUCUUAGUGGCGGACGGGUGAGUAACGCGUGGGUAACCUGCCCUUUGCAGGGGGAUAACAGUGAGAAAUCACUGCUAAUACCGCAUACCAACUUCUUUCGCAUGAAAGAAGUUUGAAAGAUUUAUCGGCAAAGGAUGGACCCGCGUUGGAUUAGCUAGUUGGUGAGAUAACAGCCCACCAAGGCAACGAUCCAUAGCCGGCCUGAGAGGGUGAACGGCCACACUGGGACUGAGACACGGCCCAGACUCCUACGGGAGGCAGCAGUGGGGAAUAUUGCACAAUGGGCGAAAGCCUGAUGCAGCGACGCCGCGUGAAGGAUGAAGGUCUUCGGAUUGUAAACUUCUAUCAGCAGGGAAGAAAGGGCCUAUGGCCUAUGACGGUACCUGACUAAGAAGCCCCGGCUAACUACGUG